rnacentral:misc_RNA from 1 species
UCAAGUUUAAAAAAUUUUCUUGUGUUCCAUGUCAAGAAUAAUUUCAGGAAAUUUACACGCCCUUAAAUUUACAAAGUUUCACUUAACCAAAUCUCAAUCCAAAUACUUGACUUUACUACAAGAACCUAUUUUUCUCCAUUCCUUAUAGAUUUACCAAAUCUGUUCUGCUUAUUGUUAUGUGGACAAGAAUCAACAACUACACCCACCAUGACUGUCAGGAAGCUCUCCUUCUUCAAUAUCAUCAGGAUCAGUCCCAUCUUGAGCAACUCCAUUCUCAUUGUCAUUAGAUUUUGUGUCCUUAUCUGUCACAG